CUUGUUGGUGGGGUGAUGGCCUACCAAGGCGACGACGGUUAGCCGGCCUGAGAGGGCGACCGGCCACACUGGGACUGAGACACGGCCCAGACUCCUACGGGAGGCAGCAGUGGGGAAUAUUGCACAAUGGGCGGAAGCCUGAUGCAGCGACGCCGCGUGAGGGAUGACGGCCUUCGGGUUGUAAACCUCUUUCAGCAGGGACGAAGCGUGAGUGACGGUACCUGCAGAAGAAGCGCCGGCCAACUACGUGCCAGCAGCCGCGGUAAGACGUAGGGCGCGAGCGUUGUCCGGAUUUAUUGGGCGUAAAGAGCUCGUAGGCGGCUUGUCGCGUCGACUGUGAAAACCCGCGGCUCAACUGCGGGCUUGCAGCCGAUACGGGCAGGCUAGAGUUCGGUAGGGGAGACUGGAAUUCCUGGUGUAGCGGUGAAAUGCGCAGAUAUCAGGAGGAACACCGGUGGCGAAGGCGGGUCUCUGGGCCGAUACUGACGCUGAGGAGCGAAAGCGUGGGGAGCGAACAGGAUUAGAUACCCUGGUAGUCCACGCUGUAAACGUUGGGCGCUAGGUGUGGGGGACCUCUCCGGUUCUCUGUGCCGCAGCUAACGCAUUAAGCGCCCCGCCUGGGGAGUACGGCCGCAAGGCUAAAACUCAAAGGAAUUGACG
rnacentral:rRNA from 1 species